rnacentral:tRNA from 1 species
AAGAGAACAAACCCGUAAGAACUGCUAAUUACUUACUAUUGUGACUAAAUUCCACAAUUCUCUUA